AGUGAACGCUGGCGGCAGGCCUAACACAUGCAAGUCGAACGGCAGCACAGGGGUAGCAAUACCCUGGGUGGCGAGUGGCGGACGGGUGAGGAAUACGUCGGAAUCUGCCUAUUUGUGGGGGAUAACGUAGGGAAACUUACGCUAAUACCGCAUACGACCUACGGGUGAAAGCGGAGGACCUUCGGCUUCGCGCAGAUAGAUGAGCCGACGUCGGAUUAGCUAGUUGGCGGGGUAAAGGCCCACCAAGGCGACGAUCCGUAGCUGGUCUGAGAGGAUGACCAGCCACACUGGAACUGAGACACGGUCC
rnacentral:rRNA from 1 species